CCGACGGUGAGGGGUGAAAGCUGGGGGAGCAAACCGGAUUAGAUACCCGGGUAGUCCCAGCUGUAAACUAUGCAAACUCAGUGAUGCAUUGGCUUGUGGCCAAUGCAGUGCUGCAGGGAAGCCGUUAAGUUUGCCGCCUGGGAAGUACGUACGCAAGUAUGAAACUUAAAGGAAUUGGCGGGGGAGCACCACAAGGGGUGAAGCCUGCGGUUCAAUUGGAGUCAACGCCAGAAAUCUUACCCGGAGAGACAGCAGAAUGAAGGUCAAGCUGAAGACUUUACCAGACAAGCUGAGAGGUGGUGCAUGGCCGUCGCCAGCUCGUGCCGUGAGAUGUCCUGUUAAGUCAGGUAACGAGCGAGAUCCCUGCCUCUAGUUGCCACCAUUACUCUCAGGAGUAGUGGGGCGAAUUAGCGGGACCGCCGCAGUUAAUGCGGAGGAAGGAAGGGGCCACGGCAGGUCAGUAUGCCCCGAAACUCUGGGGCCACACGCGGGCUGCAAUGGUAACGACAAUUGGUUUCGAAUCCGAAAGGAUGAGGUAAUCCUCAAACGUUACCACAGUUAUGACUGAGGGCUGCAACUCGCCCUCACGAAUAUGGAAUCCCUAGUAACUGCGUGUCAUUAUCGCGCGGUGAAUACGUCCCUGCUCCUUGCACUCACCGCCCGU
rnacentral:rRNA from 1 species